AGGUCACUGCUAUCGGGGUUCGAUUAAGCCAUGCGAGUCGAGAGGGUUCAAACCCUCGGCGGACUGCUCAGUAACACGUGGAUAACCUGCCCUAUGGUGGAGGAUAACCCCGGGAAACUGGGGAUAAUACUCCAUAGAUUAGAGAAACUGGAAUGUUCUUUAAUCGAAAGUUCCGGCGCCAUAGGAUGGAUCUGCGGCCGAUUAGGUAGUUGUUGGGGUAACGGCCCAACAAGCCUGUAAUCGGUACGGGUUGUGGGAGCAAGAGCCCGGAGAUGGAAUCUGAGACACGAUUCCAGGCCCUACUGGGCGCAGCAGGCACGAAAACUUUACAAUGCACGAAACUGUGAUAAGGGAGCCCCGAGUGCCCGUAUACGCGGGCUGUCCAGGUGUCUAAAACGCAUCUGAAGAAAGGGCCGGGCAAGACCGGUGCCAGCCGCCGCGGUAAUACCGGCGGCUCGAGUGGUGACCACUUUUAUUGGGCUUAAAGCGUUCGUAGCUGG
rnacentral:rRNA from 1 species